UCCGAAUCAGUCAUUAGACUCAUUAGACUUUUAGUAGCAUUUUUUGUUUAACGUUUGUCGAACAAUCAUUUUGCCUAGGCUCUAGUUACGGUCACUGCGCGGAAAACGUCCUCAGGAAAACUCGCACCGCAUCCAUCCGUCAACAGAUGGCGCUCCAUUCGCUCGGCUCAUAUAAGCGAGCGCGCGCGCACCGCCGCACUGCCCGCCCGACUCCCGCGCCACCAACGCGUACCGCGAGUGAAGUGAUAUGGAUAUUCUCACCUUGGACCCAACUGGACUUUAUUAAAAAAAAAUAAAAAAAUGGCUGUCCUCGAUCCUACCGGCCAGUACUAAACAUGAUCCUUGACCCAACAGGACAAUAUUAGAGCAUCAUGAUCGGGCUAGACCCCACAGAAAUUUACUAAUCCCCCCAAAAUGUGCUGCGGGCGGCGGAGGAUUUGGACGGGAUCCAGUCCGGAAGAAACAUCGUCGUGCAGAAAAAGAAGGUUUCGGCACUAGGGCCGGAAAUUCCGUAACACCUGAAGGAAUGCAAUGUAGAUUCCCCGUCUGCAAGCCGCUCUGUAUCCAAUACUCACUACGUUUAUAUUACGACUGAUAUACUAUAGUGCACAUAUCCUUCAAGCAUUUUGUAUUAUUAUAUAAAUUAUUGUAGAUAUAUACGAUAUAGAAACUGAUAGGAAUAUAACUUUAAAAUGUUAAUUAUAAUAUUACCUGAUACGUAAAAUUUUCAUUAUGUUUAUUUGUUAAUAAUACAUUUUUUCAUCAAAAACAAUUUUUUUUUUCAUGAAUAAUAUGAAUAUCAUUUCUGUUUUCACUCUACAUAUCAUUACAAAAAUAAAACAUAUUUUUUUUUCUAGAAUUUAAACAUAAUCUCAGUAACAUGUAACUAGAUUAAGAAAGAUUCAAGACAAGCAAAAAGAGGCAAAAAGGUUAUUUUUGAUAGGUUAUCUUCGCCCAUUUGUACAUUAUUCGAGAGACCUUCAAAAACCCGUUUUUAUGUACAGAUUAGUUUUAGUUGUAGUUUUACUAGAUUUCCACUCAAAUGUAUACGUUGUCCUGCAUGAUUCGAGUUACCAUUUUUUUCCCGCUUAUAUGUAAAUAACGCUUUAAAUCACUAGUGCUUGAAAUAAGCACGUAUCCUGCUCAAAAAGUACCAAUUUUGAAGAUACCCUCAUUUUAAGAUUAAAAAGAUUUGAGAUUGCUACGAUAUUUUUUUCAUUCGAAAUUAGUACUUUGCCAAGAGCUUGACAUGAAUUUAACAAGACGUUCUUAGUUUAAAUUGUAUUUCAAUAUUAAUAACUAUUUUUAGCUAUAACCCCUAUUAUUUGAUGAUGUAGGUAACAUUUUGCGACUGAAAAUGGUAGUUAAUAAGUUAUAACCAAUUGUUAUCUACGACUAACAAUAGAACAUAGAACGUUUUAUUUCCAUCAAUAAAUUGAAAACCCUUACAACGUCUAUCAUUAAUAGAAAGUAGGGAUAGUGAGCUUACUAUGCUUUUAUUAAUUUAUCUUUAUAUUGUAGAUAAUUAAGAUAAGACUGCUUAAAGUUAAUUUGUCUUCUAAGACUGAUGUGAAUUUGCGGGACCAUUUUUGACGCUAUCGAGAUUCUGCUGUGUUACUCUGUUAGAUUAAUUACUCUGUGGUAUUCAGGACAUUCAUACAACGGAAGAGUUUUUUUUUUUUUUUCACUGAAAAGACUUAAAAUUCGCUUAAAAAGUAGAUUACAUUGAUUUCAAGCAUUUUUGAUAACAUACUUUAAAAAAGAAAUGGAAGAUAUUAGAUAAAUCUCGAUAGUUUUCAGAAAUUGGUUCCAUUGUGCUCAAGGGGAGUAGCAAUAAGGCUGAUAUGUCAAUGUCAAUGCAGUUAUAAUAAUCUGAUCAGAUAUUAUUGAACACAUCACCCGCUCCGAUUACAUAGACUAUAAGAUACCUCAGCCAUAUUGCUUUACAGCCUGAUUCGGAAAUUAAAAUACGUCACUAAUAAGCUUUAAAUGCGAUGGUCAAUGUCAAUAGUGAAGAUUUUGACAACGAAAUAUCCUUAUCGUAUUUAGAGCUAAUUUGUGUGGAAUACAAAAUUCGAAUAAGGCUGUUCGUAUGUCUGUAUUGGCCGCUAUAUCGUUACUAUAAGGCCGAGGAAGUAUCCCACCCUAGCGUAUUUUUUUUUAUCGUAAGUUACUGUCGUAAACCUAGUGAGUAAUAAAGAUGUUUUAUAUUAUUUUCUAUA